UAAUAUAAUUUCCCGACCUAUUCAGUGUUCCGUAAAUUCAAUAGAAGUAGUUUUAUACUAAUGUAGAGUAUAAAUAGCCACAGCGAACUGCUGAAAUAUCAAUUUGUAAAUGUGGACCUCACCAAAAACCCACCAUGCGAUAUGCGAUUUCCAGUUAUCAGCUCAAGAUAAGAGAGCAACUUUUUUUUAAUUUAUAAUACAAGUAAAGCUUCGAAAGCAUUAUAAUGCUUCAUUCUCGGCAAAGCAUUAUAAUGCUUGAUUCUCGGGUAUUCGUAUAUGAAACAAUUCUAGUCAUUGUGGCAACAUGCGAAAUUAGAGGCACUUGUGCAUUUAAAUUAAAUAAUUGUAUGGAGAAAAUAAUAGUGGAUGAGAUUCUGCAAUGAAGUACAUAAUAACAAAGUAUCAUUAAGUUAACAAAAGAAGUUUCUUCCUUUUGAUAUAUACAAGGCUUACUGUUGAUCUCGGUGUAGAUGGGACAUGACCAGCAGUCACUACCGGAAGAAGUACGUAGGCUGACAUCUCAAGCCAUUACAAUGAAGACAAGCCUACUCUUUGGGUGACAUGACCAGUUCUGAGAUCAACGAACGAGUUCAGGGACGACGACGAAGGGGUGUUUUUGUUUCGUGAUUAUUUGGGCCAUUUUUUUUUUAUGGAUUCAUUAUUGUUUGAGUUGUAUUUCUUUUGUUAAGAAAAUG